rfam:Bacillus sp. CHD6a contig32, whole genome shotgun sequence.
UCCACCAUAGCUCAGCGGUAGAGCAUUCGGCUGUUAACCGAAGGGUCGUAGGUUCGAAUCCUACUGGUGGAG